CGUGCCCGAUUCCUAGCGACCCCAUGGACUGCAGCCUACCAGGCUCCUCCAUCCAUGGGAUUUUCCAGGCAAGAGUACUGGAGUGGGGUGCCAUCGCUGUCUCCAUCCUCUGCUCCUACAUCCCCCCAGAAAACUUCUCCGCUGUAGGUGUGGUUGUACUUUGGUUUUCUAAGCAUGCACGCCUCCUUGCUACAUGUUCAUUUUUUCUCUUCCCAUUGACCACAGACCAAUAAUUGGCUGGCUGGGGGGUUGUUUUUCAGUGAAAUGUGAAAUCUUCCUCUUUGGUGAAGUAAACAUUUUGCACCUUCAGCAUCCAGUUUGAACACUGAUUCACCUCGGGCUAGUACCCCUCAGAGCUGGGUGUGGUCUCGGAAGUGUUCUGGAAUCCAGUUGAGUGCUUCUGGGAGAACGGAGAGGUGGCUGGUCUCAGGGUUGGUCACUUGCCAAUCGGGCCUUCUGAAAAGCGAGAGGUCAAGUCAAAGUGCCGUGGCUGGGGCUCCCGGGGCGGUCCAGGGUUUGAGACUCCGCACUUGCAUGGCAGGGGGCACGGGUUCCACCCCUGGUUGGGGAACUAAUAUCCCAUGUGCCUCACAGCGUAGCUGGAAAAACAAUGCCCACCAGAAAGCCCCGCCGCUUUGCCCACUGUCCUGCUGGCGCCAGCACAGUUGGCUUUUCUUCCACAGGGUGAUGGACGUGCGUGUUGUCACGGGGAGAGCACUGGCCUCGGAGUGUGGACCGUGGGACUGGGGUCCAUCCCCUAAAAGCGGGGGGUGGGCGGGGGGAGGGCAGUCCUGGAACCAAUCCCCAGCAGGAACUGAGGAAUGAUUGUGUUUGGGACAGAGGGAUCAGAAGCUUGAGAGGCAAGGGUGGGGAAGAAAACUUCUGUUUUGUUGCCCAUAGGCAGACUCACGCUGGGACUCCAGCGAAAACUUGGGAGUUGACUGGACCUGGGCAAGGACUUACCAUGGGCUUCUUCCCAAAGGACAUCCUGAAGAAACUUCUCCAGGGUCUAGCCGUGCCGGUGGGACUGAGCCCCUGACAGCUUUGAUCCUGGCAUCAAAGGGGACACUGAACUAUAUGAGGGCCCAGGAAUUGUCAGAGGUCUCACCCUCCCACCCCAGCCCCUCACCUCCCACCCCCAUCCCAGUGGAGGCCCUGGGCUCUCAGGAAGGGGAGAGAGAAGGGUCUGGGGUUCAGCAGGCACCCCUCAGCCAGGUUACCCUUCUUCCUGGGCCUGGUCUUAUCACCCCCACCAUUUUUAUUUUACAUUGAAGGAUAAUUGCUUUACGAUGUGUUGGUUCCUGCGGUACAACAGCAUGAAUCAGCCUGAAGUAUACAUAUAUCCCCUCCCUAUGAAGCCCCCCUUCCUCUGAAGCCCCCCUCUCCCCUCUAGGUCAUCACGGAGCACCGGGCUGAGGUCCCUGUUACACAGCGAAUUCCCACUAGCUGCCUAUUUUACACAUGAUAGUGUAUAUGCUUCAAUGCUUGUGCUCACCAUCUUUAAGGGCUUACCUUGUACCCUCUGUCCUUACCACUGAAGAGGUUACUGAUAAAAGCUGUGGGGUCCCCUAGAACGAGUUUCCCCCAUUCUUGCAGCUUUGGAAGGCAGAAGGUUGAAUGGCCAGUGGUGGAGUUUGAGACGCCGGCAGGGUGAUCUGGGGACAGGGCUCUCCCUGGUGGACGCAGCACUAGCCUGGGGAACGGUGUCUGCACCCCGCCUUCUUCCCUUCCCAGGUGGUCUUCCUCUUGUCUGCACAGGCCUUUCCUUGUUCUGUGGAAAAUCAGACAGGAAGCUGACACUUUCCUCGAAGGAUGCUCUGAGCAAGUUUGUUCUUCCUAUGCUCCGUCUCUUCCUUUCUGCAGGGAGGGUACCCCACGAGCCCUCCUUUCUCAGCAGCCUAUGAGAUGACUUCUUGAAGCUCAAAGCUGUGGGCAAAGAGGAAGGAGCUCUGUGGCCAUGUCAUUGUUUCUCUCCUGGGGAGUGGAGACUGUUUACCUUCAUGUUACCCCAGUAACCACGUGGUUUCCUGGCCAUGUUGGGCAAUGAGAUUCUGGAUGAGUAGACAAAGGGAUCUUGGGGCCGAAAAGGAGCCCAUGGUCCUUCUGCCUCCUGCCCUCCACUCAGGACGUGUCAGCCCCAUUUUCAGGUGAAGCAGCUAAGGCCCUAAGAGGUUGUAUGAUGUGCCCGGGGCUGCAGAGGGAGGUGGUGGCCAGGGCCAGACAGCAGACUGGAACCCACCAGCCCUGGAGCCCCUGAGCCCCAGGGCCGCUGCCACCGCGCCUGGCGUGCAGCCUUCAUCCUGGUCAGGCUCAGGCCGAGCCCUUACCCUCCAGGUAGGAGCCACUGUGGCUCCCAUUUCACAGAGGAGCAGAGACACUCAGAGAUGUUAAUAAAACAACAGAUACAUGUUGGUUCCCUAUUUAAAAUGUACCUCCAUCCCCCUCGUCUCCACCAUGAAGAUGAAGCGAGUGAUGACGUCACUGAUCUGGGGGACACCUGAAGCCCCUCUUUCCCUCCCUUCAGUGCACACUCAUUUUCCCCCCACCCCCUGGCUGAUGCAAGUGGUCGGAUGAUCCCAGCAGACCUUGCACAGCACUAGGGGCACCAAACUGGAGACCUGCCAGGUGCUAGACUGCACCCUGGAGCCAGACGAGGAGCAACCGACAGGCACAGUGGCUGCUGGACGGGAGAGCGGCUUCAAGUGGCUUGAAAAGACCCCUUUUGCCUCAGUGUCGCAUCUGCCUCUGCUACAUCAGAUGUUCUCAGAUGAAGAAUUCAUCAACCACAUGGGGGAUUCCAUACCUGCCCCAGACCCCUUCAUGACACGGGAUGCUCAGGCGAGGAUUCCUGAGGGCUCGGGAUCUACUUCUUCUCUUGCUAAAAGAGGAGUGUUAAGAUCUCCAGCUGGAAUUGGAAAUGACGUCUCUUCAGUUCUAGAUUCCUCCAAGACCAAAUCCGAGCCAUUUCCCGAGACCAAGUCAAGACUGUUUUGCUUGAGACCCUGAUGGCUAGAAUAGAAAAUCAACACUAUGGGCCUUGGACUUCUUCCUCCCAGAUCACAAAGCAUUGACUCUCAUUUAUCAGCAAGAAGAAGCCCUGAACAUUAAUGGCGCCCACCUCUCUUUCUGUUUUUGUAUAUAUUCCUUAGGGUCUGGAAUGAAGGACAGUUACAUGGCUCAAAAUAGCCUGGAGUUAAGAUUCCCCUCCAGGUCCUCCCCUCCAUUCUGUGCAAAACAAAGAACUCUCUCACCCAAAGAGAAAAAUGGACAUUAAGGCUGAUUAAGCCCAGCUCUCAGCCGGUCCAGCCUCUGCCGGAUCUCCAAAAUUCCUUGCCCCAGCCCUUUAAGAGAUAACUACUAACAACCUUGGAGAAGAACAGGCCCCCCGAAGACAGUAGCUUUCCACAUAGAUGCCUAUAUAUAC